rnacentral:rRNA from 1 species
GAUGAACGCUAGCUACAGGCUUAACACAUGCAAGUCGAGGGGCAGCGGGAUUGAAGCUUGCUUCAAUUGCCGGCGACCGGCGCACGGGUGAGUAACGCGUAUCCAACCUUCCGUACACUCAGGGAUAGCCUUUCGAAAGAAAGAUUAAUACCUGAUGGUAUGAUGAGAUCGCAUGGUAUCAUCAUUAAAGAUUUAUCGGUGUACGAUGGGGAUGCGUUCCAUUAGGUAGUAGGCGGGGUAACGGCCCACCUAGCCUACGAUGGAUAGGGGUUCUGAGAGGAAGGUCCCCCACAUUGGAACUGAGACACGGUCCAAACUCCUACGGGAGGCAGCAGUGAGGAAUAUUGGUCAAUGGACGAGAGUCUGAACCAGCCAAGUAGCGUGAAGGAUGAAGGUCCUACGGAUUGUAAACUUCUUUUAUAAGGGAAUAAAACCUCCCACGUGUGGGAGCUUGUAUGUACCUUAUGAAUAAGCAUCGGCUAACUCCGUGCCAGCAGCCGACGG